rnacentral:rRNA from 1 species
AAAUGAAUAGACGGGGGCCCGCACAAGCGGUGGAGCAUGUGGUUUAAUUCGAUGCAACGCGAAGAACCUUACCAGGUCUUGACAUCCAGAGAACCUUUAGGAAACUAGAGGGUGCCCUCGGGAGCUCUGAGACAGGUGGUGCAUGGUUGUCGUCAGCUCGUGUCGUGAGAUGUUGGGUUAAGUCCCGCAACGAGCGCAACCCCUGCUAUUAGUUGCUAACAAGUGAAGUUGAGCACUCUAAUGGGACCGCCUGUGACAAGCAGGAGGAAGGUGGGGAUGACGUCAAAUCAUCAUGCCCUUUAUGAUCUGGGCUACACACGUGCUACAAUGGAUGGUACAGAGAGCAGCGAAGUUGCGAAGCCAAGCGAAUCUCAAAAAGCCAUUCUCAGUUCGGAUUGUAGUCUGCAACUCGACUACAUGAAGUCGGAAUCGCUAGUAAUCGCGAAUCAGCAUGUCGCGGUGAAUGCGUUCCCGGGCCUUGUACACACCGCCCGU